UUUUGGGAGUCCGGGUGGUCAGCAGAAUCCUCAUGAAGCUUCAGGGUUUCCAAGUCCUAGGUCGUUAGGGUAUCCUUUUCCUCCGAUGCACCAAAACACCUAUGGUUAUCAUUUAGGGUCCUACGCGCCGCAAUGUGCCAGUCCACCUAAAGAUGAAAAAUGCGGCCUAUCAGAUGACCCGGGCCUUCGAGUAAAUGGAAAAGGCAAGAAAAUGAGAAAACCUCGCACGAUAUAUUCUAGCCUUCAGCUGCAGCAGCUAAAUAGGAGGUUUCAGAGGACUCAGUACCUAGCACUCCCUGAGAGGGCUGAACUAGCCGCCAGCCUUGGCCUCACACAGACUCAGGUGAAGAUUUGGUUCCAAAAUCGCCGCAGUAAAUACAAGAAGAUGAUGAAGGCUGCCCAAGUCGGUGCUCCUCCACCCAGCCUCGGUCUACCGCCCAGCAGCCCGCCCAACAACAACCAGCUAUUACAUGGUGGCGGUGGAAGUUCAAGCGGGUCUCAACACUCCCCCUCGGCGUACCAGAGCGGGGGACCGGCGCAGGCGCACUCCCCCACCCCCAGCUCCACCCCAGUGUCGGAGCUGUCCCCAGGGCUGUCACCCACAGGCACCCCGUGGGAUGUGAAGCAACCACCACAGCCGUCAUGGGAUAUCAAGGUUGGAUAUCCGACGGCAGGACGGUCGCCUGACGGUAGCUCGUGCGAUGUGAAGCCACCACAUCAGCAAUCAUGGGACCCUAGGGUCGGAUAUGAGGGUUAUUUCGCGCCCCAAUCUGAUGAUAUUGAAGGAUCACCAGGCGCAGACGGCAUGAGGGGCCGACCUAUGCCUUGGAUGCUGAAGGGAGCGCCGCCCGGCCCAUGGGACAUGAAAGGCGCGCACGCCGCCCACGCACUGCAUCAUCAGGGGGCGCCACAACCUCACCCGCCCUACGUGCCACAGUACUCGUGGUAUCAAACUGAUGCCAACCCUGGAUUACUCACCCUCUCGCAGUCCACUGCUGGACAUAGGCCUCUACAAAAAUGGGGAAUGAACCACCAUGCUUGGCAAGCGGGUUGGUGACUGGAGACACGAGGUGGCACUUGAUCAUCGUGUCACAAAUCUUCUAGUACCAGGCCGAUGGCAAUCCUGGGGUAUGGCCAGCAGUUUAACAGCCCUCGCACACAAACCUAACUAAAAUGUAAAAUGUAAGUGUAUAUUCACUAUAAAAUGGCGGACAGAAUGACAGCCACCACAAAAUGGCGUCGUAUCUAGGCGCGAAAGCAUCGGCACAACCAACUUUUAAUUUUAAGCAGAAUUAUUUAAUAGUAAUAAAUAAAAAUCAAUGUAAAUUUUUAUAAUUAAUUAUAAAUAGGGAAUAAUUGUUUAUAAUGGUUACUGUAUAUGUAAUAAUAUGUUAAUAAAAACAGAUAUUGAUGGGCCAAACAAUUAUAAUUCAUAUUUAUAAAAUUCAAUUCCGUCUCCGACGAACUGUUUAAAAAAUAUGUUUCUUUAUAGACAAACAAAAAUCUUACAUUUCUGCUUCAAUAUUAUUUCCAAAAAUAAUUCUCUGGCUCAUCAAUAUACUGGUAUUCCUAUAAAAUAACGUAACGUCCAACCCUGUCGCAUAGUUAUGAACCAAUCAGCUUUCGUUUAUCCUGAAAUAUCCGUUCCUGAUUGGUUGAUAAACACGUGACAGACUAAAAUGGACAGACCACGUUAUUUGUCAGUUUUGAUGUAUGACAGAUGUGAAUGUGUUGGUUCUAUUGUUUAUUUUAAGUUUCCCGAGACACCCUAAUUAUUGAAAAAAAUGGCAUAAGUUAUCAAGAUAAAAAUAUAAAAAAUGUGAUAUGCCAUUCAUAGAUUAAUAAAAUAGAAAAUAUUAUUGAAAUUUAAUUAAUUGGUUGCAAUAUUCGUUUUACAUUUGAAAAGUAAAAAUUAAUUAAAAAAUAUAUUUG